rnacentral:rRNA from 1 species
UACGGAGGGUGCAAACGUUGCUCGGAAUCAUUGGGCGUAAAGCGCACGUAGGCGGCUCGUUAAGUCGGGUGUGAAAGCCCUCGGCUCAACCGAGGAAGUGCAUUCGAAACUGGCGAGCUUGAAUAUGGAAGAGGGUCGCGGAAUUCCCGGUGUAGAGGUGGAAAUUCGUAGAUAUCGGGAGGAACACCAGUGGCGAAGGCGGCGACCUGGGCCAAUAUUGAC